AUGCAGCUACAUAAAAUCAGCAUCAUGUACACCUACAACUGAUAUUGGCCAAGAUGGGAAUGGUAAGUUAUAGUACAGCUUCUUGACACCAUUGUAUGAACUUCUUACAGAUUUAGAGAACACACAUUCACCCAUUGUAUAGCUCUCAUACAAGGGUACUCAACCAGUUUUUGAUAGUGUCAUUGUCAAUUUCUUUAUACCCCACAUUUUCCACAAGUAAAUCUGUUCCCAAAGCAGUACAUACAAAAAUCUAAAUCUAAAUACAAUAGUGUAAUAACAGUACAUAGUAAGACAUAUAAUAUAACUGCAACAUAACACUUGCAUUAAUAGUCAACAAUUAAUAGUUCUUCACCUUGCUGCACUAUGGGUUUUUUAUAUAUAAUGUUGAUUAUUUGUAGUUCAAUACAGGUGUAACUAUCACUCACAUGCCCUGAAUGGGUCAUACAGUCCCGGUUUCCUUUCAGAAUGGAUUCUUGAAAUGUAUUUCCCCCAAAUAACUCUAUUUAUUCUAUAGUGCUGCAUCUUCUCAAAUUUGGGUUAUGGUAUAUUCUUCAUCUAACUUCCUUUGCCCUAUCAGUUAUUUUACACUUGCCAGUGCUAUCAUGUACUUUCAUGUUGAGUUGUCCAUUCGUUAACAGUAUACAGUAUGUGGGGGUACAUAAACUUUGCUUUUCUCUCCCAUCCCCAUGCUGCUCCAAAUUUGCUCAUACUCUGAUUCCUAAGCACCAAGGUUUUCUUAAGUGAUUAAUCUGGCAAGCCAUUUGCCGAGAAACAAUUGUUACUUGCUUCGGGCAAAUAAAUAAUUGGCUAACUGCAAGGCUUUCUGUGCCCUCUUUGACAUUUCUGCAUCGUUUUCCUGUUCCAUUGCUGUGUUUCAAGUCCAUAGGUCAUUACUGGCAAGCUGGACUGAAUAAAUGUUUUCCGUUCCAAACAAAUACUCAAAUGCUUGUUUUUCUGUGUUGCACAUGCUCCUCUGUUUCCUCACAAACGGGGUCAAAAGUAAAGGUUGUCCCUAGCUCUUAUAUCUGGUCUUAUAUUUGCUCCAAGUUCCACAGUGGAAGAUUACCUGGCAUUGCCAAAUGUUGCAGGGAGAGAAGUAAAUGGAUGCCAAUUGUCAUGUUUUCCCUCAUAGUUACUUCUCGGUGCCACCCGAGCUUGUUACUUCACCGUGUAAUCUGCUCAUUUUCCCUUGUUGGGAGGUGUAUGGAGCCUUGUAUUUACAACAGGAGGAUUAGCCUGGCAACUCUCCAAAAGUAUUUGGAAAACGACAUUGUGGUGCCUUGCUUCAGCUGGGGUUGUGAGGGCAGAUAUAUUUUGCCGGUCAAGACUUGAGAGCAUUUAGAGUGUUUUCAGAUCAGGAUUUCUCACUGGGUCUGAGAGUGAGGCGAGGAUUUUAUUAAUAACAGCAGCAGCAUUAUCUGAUUACUUACACAGACAUAGAUUACAGAUGCAGACUGGCUUAAGUCUUCUGUUGGUCUCAACACUUGGCGUUAAGUAAUCACAUCCAGGGGUGCUUUGCAGGAAUUGCCAACACAUACUGUGAAAUAAAAGUCUGCUCAGAAGUAAGCAUCACUGACUUCAGUGGGGCGUACUCCAAGGUAAGUUUGUUCAGCCCAGACACUGAGAUCCAGCACCGAGGGCCUUCUGGCCGUUCCCUUACUGUGCAAAGUGAAGUUACAGAGAACCAGGCAGAGGACCUUCUCAGUAGUGGUGCCCAGAUGUCAAGGAGAUAAGUGACUAUACAACAUUUAAAAGACAUCUGAAAGCAGCCCUGUAUAAGGAAGUUUUUCAUGUUUAAUGUUUUAUUAUGUUUUUUAUAUAUGUUGGAAGCCAUCCAGAGUGGCUGGGGCAACCCUGUCAGAUGGGCAGUGUGUGUGUGUGUGUGUGUGUGUGUGUGUGUGUGUGUUUCUUUUGUCAACAGCAUAUUUGUAAUACAGCUUUUUAUCACUAGUGAAAGAUAACAUGGAUUAUCUUCAUAACUAGUAAUGGAAUUUGGAAUAAAAGCCCCAUGUGGGGAAUAUGGCCCUCUUAUUGGAUUGUUGUAAAAAGAUGCUCAUUUUAGGGUAGUUGCUUCUCUGCUUUUGCUACUCAGUCUGGGACACGGCAACAAUUCCUGAGUCAACGCUCAAUGCAAAGGGCUGUGCGCUAUGACCUUUGUAAACACAGUGGAGCAUUUGAGCCACCCCUAUCUGAAAGCAUCCUUCUGUGCCACUGGACAUGUGCCUCUCAAUGCUUGAGGCAACUUCAUAAACACCCACUGAGGCAACAUGAAGAGGUGCCAUGGAGGAAGAAAAUUGGAGAGACCUUCAUGUAUUGGCCAAAAGGCUAUUGAAUCACAGCCCUUGACAGCUUGCCUCUAGGAAGGCCUGUCACCUUCUGUAUUGGGAGGUAGAGAUGGAGCAACCCCAAGGACUUUUCAUGCAGAACUAUGGCUGCAUAGAUGAAGCUCUUUCUAGGUUUUCCUUUUGUGUACUUGAUUUUUGCUAAAGAUAGUAGCAUGGGAUGUUGGAUCCCAUUUUUGUUAUUAAUUAUUAUUGUUGCUGCUGUUACUGUUCUUAUUUAUUAAUCACCUUCCACAUACAUCCUAAGGCAGGUUACAAAAUAUAAUUAAAACAGCUAGAAAAAACCAGUUACGAAACAGAUACAGAAAUAACCAAAGAUGAAUUUAAAAGCAGUACAAAAUGGGCAUUUGCGACAGAGGCCUAUUCAUCCUGCUGGGAAAGCUUGAUGAUAAAAAAAGAGAAAAUCUGUGUUUCUGUUACUAAAAGCCAUUGCAUGCCAGUGCCUCAGGUACAAGCAGCGUGCUCUUUUGUAUCUUUGUAUAAAGAUGGACAGCUUCUGUUACACUUGGAUAGCAAAGGAAAUUAUAUAUUAGAAAUGAAAUGCGUUUUCUUUUCUACUCUUCAUCUAGGCGCAUUUGCUAUCUAACUUGCUUGUUGUAUAUGACAUUCCAUGCAUAAAACUGGGAACACCGAUGCCAUAUCUCUAAAGCACAGAACCAUAUCCUCUCUCCAGAUUACAAAUGAUGCAGUGAUUCAGAGACAAGCAAUUUUUUUCACACAAUGAUUACCCUUAUCACCUACAGCCUUAUUGUUUAAAAUUUCCAUCGUGUUGGCUUUUUUCAUGAUACUUUUUUUCAUUGUUUGCCGAUGGCUCCCAUUAGUUGUCCAUGCAGACUUGCCCACGAUUAGUUUUAUUUUUGCACCAACAGCUCAAAUGACCGCUCUCUUUCCAUCCAUAGAAUUGUUGAAUUGGAGGGUAAGAAAGGGCUCAGAACAAUUUCUAAUUUAGUCUUUUCUGCCCAUUAAUGUAGGAGGUUGGAUUGAGACUGUUAGCCACCCUUAGAUCCUAUUGAAGUCAGUAUGAAAAGUUAGCCAUGAAAAACUUAAUUACUAUUUAUUUCAAAAGGAACCAAGGUUGCUUCCAGGUGAUCUGUUUAUUGAGCAUUCAUCCUGAAUUAAAUUUGCACAGAGGUUAUAAUGAUGUUGUGUCAAGCAACGGUUAUCCCACAUUCCCCAGUACAUUCUUCUGUAACUUUCCUUACUGUAAAAAGUCUGAUUUUGGGAAGGUGGAGAGUAAGCUAGAAGGAGGACAUUUGAAAAGCAGGUUUAACUUUUUCCAUACUGCACAGCAACAUACAAACUGACUCCCCCAUCCCUCAGAGUUAUUGUUUUGGCAAUUGCAUCAAAAGCCAGGGAACCAUAUAUUUCUCCCACUGGCUUGAGAACAUAGUGAACUUGGAAUGGAGAUAAAUUAGUGUCUAUGGUGAUCUCCGUUGUCAAAGUAAUUCAUGUCACAAGACCAUACCAAAACAGACACAGGGGAACAAUCUCAGAUCAUAUGUUGAAUCAAUGCUGACCUGUUUUAUAGCUCCAACAUCUAUUUGCAUUGUGCUGUCAAGUGGAGUUCCAAUAAGUACUCUGAGCCAAAUUGAAUUAACUUGCUAUAAUGAAUGACUCCUGGAAAAGCAUUAAAUAUUACAGCUGGUUUUGUGUCCUUUGCCUGCUGGAUGUUUUUUUGCUCACCCUAGAUUUUCCCUGAUAAUGUCCUCAAAUGUUUUAAGGCACUUUUCCUCUUGAAGAAUAUUCAGUAUAUUUGACAACUCAUAAAGGAACCUGGAGUUUCUUCAAAUCUUUGCAUUGGCAGUAAUGAGUAUUUCCAGAAAAUAGCAUUAUGGUCAUAUUCAAAUGUGUAACAAGUAUGACUCUGCUAUUAGUUGUAAUUUAUCUUAAGCUUUGAAAACAUUUUUUAUUAGCCAUGAAUUAUUGUCAAUUUGAUCAUAUUCACAGGAAGAACAUUUGGAGACUAUGUUAUGUUGAAGGAUUCUUUGUUCACAAAUGGGUCUGUAUUUACUAGUAAAAGGCCUGGUUGUUUCAAUGAAAUGCAAUUUAGAUGACAGCAUCAGCAUUUCCUCCAUUAGAAUAUUCUGCAUAUUAGGCUGAAUGGCUUAGAUUGUAGUGGUACCUUAGUUCUCGAACGUAAUCCGUUGGACUUCCGAAACGUUCGAAAACCAGGGUGUGGCUUCCAAUUGGCGCAGGCAUCCUGGAAACAAUAGCUGACAGCCACGUAAGACUUUCAGCUUCCAAAAAAUCUUCGAAAACUGGAACACUUACUUCUGGGUUUUCAGCGUCCAGGAGCUGAUUUGUUCAUCAACUAAGCCGUUCGAGAACCAAGGUUCCACUGUAUUCCAAAGCAGACUGCAAAAUCUCAAUGAUUUCUUUACAACUGAAUGGGUAGGUGAUUGUCAGUUCAUGAUACCCUGCUAAGUUUUGGGAUUUCAUAGCUUGACAAAAAGAACUUGCCAAAAAAGUGGAUGGAUGUAGAUCAUAAGAACAUGGAAAUCUGCCUUAUGCUGAAUCAGACGACUGGUUCACCUACCUCAGAAUUGUCUAUACGCACUGGCAGCAGCUAUCCAGGGGUUCAGUAGGACAUUCCACCUAGGGAUGCUUGGGAUUGAACCUAGGACUUGCUGCAUGCAAAGCAGAUGAUCUACUACUGAGCUAUGACCCUUUCCGCUUAGAUAGCCAUCACUAUGUCUGCAGCUCAAAAAAUGAAUAGUAUAUACAUGGAUGAUAGGUGAAAACUAAACCUGAAAAUUAGGUGAUAGGUGAAGUCUCUGGACAAUUGUAGCUGGGGAUUCUCUGUAGACUGCUGAAUGAUUGCAUAAUAGUGGUAGAAGAAGCCUUGGCUACAGCUCAUGGUUAGCAAAGAGACAGCAUGUCAUCUGAACCCAGGCUAAUGGUUAAGCUAAGGCCAAACCUUGGUUCAGCUCAGUGCAGUGCAAGAGUAAAAAAGAUGGGAGGAGGUGAGCAGCCUCAGGCUCACUUCUAGAAGCAUGCACAUUCAUUCAGCCUGCUAAAUCAUAAUCUGGCUUACCGUGACAUGUGAUCCAGGCCAUUUGGUUUGCAAAAACUCCAGAAGAAUAAGCCUAGGAAGGGUGACAGUGGGAAUCAAGGAAAACUAAAAAUGUCUUAGAAAGUAAGCAUAAUUGUGGUGUGGGGGCGGAGAAUUGAAAGCGAGAAAUGUAAAUAGUGACAGAUGGGCAUUAGCCUACUUCUGAGAGAUUGCCCUGUUGAUCCCAGAUAAUGAGGGUGGAUCUGCAUCAGCAAUUUUCCCUGAGAGAUGUCCCAGGCACAGAAGCUCCGGUCUACACCUCAUCUCUGCAGGGUCCCUGUUUAUGUUAUUUUUAUUUGAAUAAUGUAUACCCCACUUAACAGUUCUCAAUUCAAAGCCACUUCCCAUUAAAAUUACAGUUGGCCCACCUUUAAAGCUAGCCACUCAAACUGAGAAAUCACUCAAAGUGCAGUUUGGGUGCAUUUUAAUAAGCCUCUGGAGUGAAUCAUGUUAACAGGAUGAAUAUGUGAUGUGCAGUGCCACCCUAAGCCUUAGGAUCUCCCUUACACACAAACACACACUUCUGGGAAAGCAAAGGCCUCUUCACUGAAUUAUUUGCCUUCCAUGAAACAUUAAUCAUGAAUGAACCUAUUCACAAGUAAGAGGGGCAGCAGCCCCAUGUUCCAAGCAGCAGUCUGGAUGCCUGGUUAAUUUUGGUGGAUCUGCUACUGGGCAAGGGCUCCAGCUUGCCACUUGGCAAUAACACUUCCUGUAUGGCAGGCUUGAUUAAGUGUGAAGUACACUGGUACUUCAAAAACAUAAGAGCUGAAUGGGGUUUUAUGUGUUCUUGCCUUAAUGGAGGUGUUGUUGAAACAAUAGCCAGAGCCCUGUUAGAGAUGAUGUAGAGGAAAACACUCUAAAGCUCGCAAGAGGAAAUGUAGAAGGCUUGGCCCAGCUCCGAAGCCAGCAGCUCAAGCUGGGAAAGCCUGGGUGCAUUUUAAUAACCCUCAGGAGUAUCUCAUGUUACAGGAUGAAUAUGCCACAUGCAACAUAAUCCUAAGCAUCUUUACUAAGACAAAAAGUCCCAUCAAGUUCAGCAGGACUUGCUUUCUGGUAGGAAGGCAAUCCAUAUGUCAUUCUGAUCAAGUUUUAUCUCCAUACCCAGUUAUGUGCUAUAUGUGCAGUGUGGCACUGAAAGUGCACCAGUAGAUGAUAAUAUCAAUGAACCUGUGCAGAUUACUGGAAGUCACCCCAUUACCUGAACCCCAUUGUAUCCCAUCUUCUUUCAGUCACCCUUAAAUGCAAGAAACUCUGGGUAAAGGUGAAAGAAAUUGGAUGCUGUUGAUGGCCCUAACUAAUCAAUAGUCUGCAUAAGGCAGAUAGGAUCUUGUUGACCCUUCUUUUUCUUUUUAAAGGCCCAUAGUGUCCCACUGUCUGUUGAAAAUUGGUCCCUUUAUCAUGCUUUCCACAUUAUUUUUUUAAAAAGUACUGCAUUUCAAAUUAACAUGGAGGAGAAAAUAUGAAGAUUCAACUGAAUCUGCAAAAUGGAAAAUUAUACAUCUUCCAUGAGAUACAAACACAUCUUAGUCAACCCACAAAUACGUUAUGCUACCAGGUUGGAUAUAAGUUUGCUUUCCAUUGGUUUAACUCCUCAGAUUGUGGAUUGUGCAAGGGAAUGCCACCGUAAGAAUGUUUCUGUGUUUACCAGAGGAUCAAGCAUUAACAUCUGCAGGAUAUUGGGUGAUGAUCUGCUCUACCAAGAUUUCUGCAUAUCUGGCUGGGUCUGCUGGGUCUGCUACAGCCAAUGUGGUACUCUUCAGGUGCUAUUAGACUGCAACUCCCAUCAACGCUAGCCAGUAUGGCCAGUAGGGGUGAAUGAAUUUGGAAUCGUAACAAUCUCUGGAGGAUCCCAUGUUGGCUACCCUUGACCUAUAUUAACGGGACAGGUGGAAUGUUUGCUUUUCAGUAUCAGUUAGAUGACUCUGUGCUAGAUUAGAAUGCAAGUGUCUUGCACAACUAUAGUUCAAUAGCAUGGCUUAGUGUUGUUUUCAAUCACAAAACUCGAGUUCAGAGCAGAUAUUUAAAAUCACUUGAUCCUUGUUGGAAGAUCUCUUGCAAUCCCAUCCAUGGGAAUCGGGGCAUAUGGGGAAGGGGUUAGCUUCAGGAAUAGGUUAGGUUGUACUAAAUUUGGUGCUUUGAUUCCAGAGUUAUGUAUAGAAGUAGACUAUUAAAUCACGCACACAUACAUCGGGAGUACAGUGCAUUGUUUAUUGACCAGCUGUUGUUCUCUUUAGUAAGAAUACCCUACAACACCUGUCCCUGCUUCAUCUGCCUCAUAUCCCAGCCAGUAUCCUGUUCAAAUCAGCUGCCAAGUGCAUUUCCCCAGAGUGGAAAAGGAUGUAUAAUGCGAUUCUGGCUGGGGACUUUACCUUGGCGUAAUUGUUGUUGUUAGUGAAAGAGGCCUUGUUAGAAACAGAGAGAGACCCUUAAGAAAAAUUGGUUAGCUUCUGCUGUGUAAUUAGCAAUCAUUUGAAAUGUGUGAACUAUAACUGCCCUUUCCUCAAGCGUAUUAUACCUAAAUCCAGAAUUCAAAGCAUCUAGAGACUUUCUAUAUUAUUCUCCAUAAGUUGCCAGCUUUAAUUAAGUGAAGUUCUCUUGGAUACUAGUCCCUUGCUUUAGAUCCAUGCCAAAUUGCUACUUCUUCAUUUACAAGUGGAUAUUGUCUUUUCACUUUGAAAUUGAUGGGAGAAGAAGGCUGUCUUGCGAUAUGCAUGGCUUACGCAGGCUAUGCAAGAGAAGUACAGUGGUACCUCGGGUUACAUAUGCUUCAGGUUACAUACGCUUCAGGUUUCAGACGCCGUUAACCCAGAAAUAAUACUUCGGGUUAAGAACUUUGCUUCAGGAUGAGAACAGAAAUUGCGUGGCGGCAGCGGGAGGCCCCAUUAACUAAAGUGGUCUUCAGGUUAAGAACAGUUUCAGGUUAAGAACGGACCUUCGGAACGAAUUAAAUACGUAACCAGAGGUACCACUGUAAUGUUAAUGGGGAUCACACCUUAUGCAAACCCACAAGGAUAGCUUAAAACAGCUGCCUUAUACAGACACAAGCCAUAGGUCUGUGUAGCUCGGUACUGUUGGCGAUUGCUGGCUGUAGCUCUCCAAAAGUAUUGGGGAAAGUUGUCUUCCCAGGUCUAUUUGAAACCCUCACCUGGAGGUGCCUAGGAUUGAAUCUGGGACCUUUUAUAUGCAGCAUGGGCUGUAUUACUGAGCUCCUGUCCUUCCCCACUUUACAGGAUACUACUUUCUUUUACUUCUGGUUUAAUACUUAAGAACUGACUAGGGAGCAUGGGAAACUGAGAUUUUCCUAGCUGCUACCAUAGCCUCCUAUAAUUUCUUGUGAAUUUGAAGUAGUAAAAAUUUAACUGUACAAUUGGUCUCCUCUUUCUCAUACCUUUUUUCUUUCCCAUAUGCAUUAACUAUGGAUAUUUACACUGGCUGUUGCAUAAAAAAUGCACUAUCAAUGCUUUUUACUAUACAGCAAUUACUGCUUUGUUCUUGGGGAAAUUCUAAUACCUUUACAUCCCUAUUCACAAAGCAGUUUUGAGGAUCUGAGAAUUGAUAUUGCCAGGUUCUGUGUUUUGCACUGGGCUAUUGGUUUACAUUUUGCGUAGGGUGUGCAAUUUUCUUAAUCUGUUUGAAACCUAUUUUUGUAUUUGAAAGUAGUUAUUACUUGCCCUGAGCCUCAAAAACUAGCUCAGAAUU